UCUCCGUAGGUGAACCUGCGGAGGGAUCAUUACAGAGUUCAUGCCCUACCGGGUAGAUCUCCCACCCUAUGUUAUUAUUACUUUGUUGCUUUGGCGGGCCGUUAGGCUCCGGCCCGACUACCGGCCCCGGCUGGUAAGCGCCCGCCAGAGAACCCAAAACCCUGAAUAUUAGUGUCGUCUGAGUACUAUAUAAUAGUUAAAACUUUCAACAACGGAUCUCUUGGUUCUG
rnacentral:misc_RNA from 1 species